GGAAGGCAUCUGAUUUACUCCAUCUCAUCCCGAAACAUUCACACCCAGAGCAGGGUUCAAUACCGGGGACCCACGACCCAGGGGAGGGGACACAAGGCGAACCUCCUCGCUGUCCUCAGUCUCUGGAUGCACACCACACGGGCUCCAGGCCUGGCGCUCAGCUGAGGGCAGAGAAGGCGAUGCUGGCCAGGAGGGUCAGAGGAAGGCACCUGGGCGCAGGGCACCGAGAGACAGAGGGAGGCUGGCUGCUGUGCUCGCUGGCCCCAGCGGGGACUGUCUUUUAAAGCACACCCGGCUUCUGGAAGUUGGAGGGAAGUUCAGGGGCCUUCGCUCUUGGAUGCACAUUCUCCAGGAGGCCAUCUUGCCUGGAGGGGGUGAAGGUUGGUUCCUGGGUGGGGUGCAAGAGGAUCUCAUGCACGUAAAGCACAGGCGCACAGGCGACACAGUCACAGACAGCAAUCUGUGCUGUGGGAACUUCCGGGGGACAAUCAAGAGUGACCGUCUCCAGCAGCUCCGCAGGGAGGGAGCAGUCACGUGGUGACACGAGGUGCAGCGCCAUCCUGGACCCUCAGUGUCUCAGCCCUGGAGGGCACACACCCUCCUACUGCCCCAGGUGGGCGCUGAAGCCCCCUGAGGUACAGAACGGCCCAGAGGUCACACAGGGAGUUUGUGCCCAUGCCCGGGCUCUUCUGUAUGUGCCACUCAUUUGUUAGCAAAAACGAGCUUAUCUGUGAGCGGAGCCCAGGGCCCCACGUUCCCUGCAGAGGCCGCACGUUGGAGAUGAGUGAAUGGCCCGUGAGGUCUCAGCACACACCCUGGGCAUCCUCAGGAUGGCACACACUGUCCUGCCACCUCGGUGGUGUGACAAGGAACAGGUGGAGGAGUCCCAGCAAAGAGAGGCUAUAACGUCAGGCCCCAGCGUGCUGGGAAGUGGAACGUGGAGGAGCCAUCGAUGAGGCUCAGGAAGUAGGCGUCUGCCCAGCUCCCCGCCCAGACUCCAUUGUGAAGGUGGAAAUCACAAAAAAGAAAAAAAAGUUGGUCUGCUGAAUGACAGCCCGAGCUCUGUGUGUCCCCUGGCCAUUCGGUGACAUCCGACUCGCUGCUGUGGCCGCCAGCUUCAGGAUCUCCCCAGGGUGUGUCUUCUUCAUUCAUUCAGUUGUUCAUUCAGUCAGUGGUUAACUGAACACCUACUGUGUGCCAGGCACCGUCCUGGGCUCUGCACCGCACAGAGAAAACUCAGAGGGGCCCAAACUCGAGGGAAAAUUCUAAGUUUCCCAGCAGAGCUGACGUGACAAGUCCACAGACCACGUUUUAACACGAUUCCCUUCCACUCGGGUGGGCGUGUUGUCUGAGCAUCUAGGGGGAGAGGGGCCGGGUGGCGCGGUUCCAAUGUGCCUGGCAGGCUCCUGCAUCCGUGCUGGAGGGCAGUCAGGACUAAAUGAAAUUAUGGGAACAAAAACAGGAAAAUGCAAAAAAAAUAAAAAAAGUUUUAAUUGGCUCACUCUGAUCUCCCUGCUGCGAUCGUAUCACCGAGCUGGCAGCUUGUCACUUGUGGUUGCUAGGCAACUCUGAGUGGGAAGGGGAACGUGUCGGUCCGUGUUUUCCGUCUUGUUGUUGGAGGCGCCCGAGCCGCGGCUGAAGCCUGCUUCUCCCUGACCCUCGACAGGGGUCGGCUGUGCCCGAGGCGGCCCCAGAAACGAUCCCCAGACUCCCAGCUCAAGGCUCUCGUCAGCCCUCAGCCCUUCUGCGACACUGCAGCUGUGACCUUGCUGGAAAGAACCCAGCGGCCCCUCCGACCCCUCCAGGUCUCCCCGCCCCUCAGGCACAUCAGCUGAGCCUGUGAGAACCCAGCGGGGAGCGCGUGCGUCCUCCUUCUUGGGCAGGAGCCCCCUGGGAUGUGACACUCAUGGUCACAGAGCCAUCGAGGUGGCCCUGCAGGCGGGCAGACUGGGUCUGUCCGUCACAUACAAGCUGUGUGACCCUGGGCAUGAUGCUAGGCUCUCUGGGCCUCGGCUUCCUCAAGUGGAGACAGCGCUUCUCUCCAGGGAGCCUUUGAGCCUUAGCAGGGACGGAUCCGCGUGAUGUGCCCAGCACGGAGCCCGGCAGAGCGAGCACUGGGCACCCGAGUCACCGUCACCGCGGGCUCCUGAGCUCACUCUGAGGGCCUUGUGGAAUCUGGGAGCUGGGAGCAGCUAUUUCAGCCGAUGAGCCCAAAUUGGAUUAUGGAGAAAUUGCAAGGUGUUGCUGGAAAGGCUCAUCUGACCUUGGGCAUGGUUAGUGGUGCGGACUUGAAAGAAACGAGAUCCCCUUUCACUGGGAGAGAUUCCAGUUCUGCAGCCUCUGCUCCAAACAGGGCGACUCCAGGGUGGGAGAGCAGUCUGAAUGGACCAUAAUUUGUCACCUGUGCACCCAGACACAACUGCCGGCUAUGCCCAUGUGAGUGGCAGGCGUGGUGGGUGACCGUUUCCGUGAGUCUCCCCAGGGAAGCAAUACCAAUUUCUCCCGAGCAGGACUCGGCUGCAAGACACACAUAAAAGCUUGCACGACGACAGGAGGCUGCCCUCAGUUCUCUGGGAUAAAUACCAGGAGCAGGCUGGUGGGUCAGACGGGGUUCCCUGCCCAGUCUUUUGAGGAGCCUCCAUACUGAUUUCCAGAGAGGUCGUUGUGAUUGACAGUGCAGCCAACAAUGUCUGAGGGUACCUUUUCCCACACCCUCGCCAGCAAUUAUUAUUUGUAUUCUUGACAUUUUAACUGGAGUGAGAUGAAAUCUCACAUAGUUUUGAUUUGCAUUUCCCGGAUGGCUAAGGAUGUUGAACAUUUUUUUUUCAUCUAUUUGUUGAACAUUUGUAUUUCUUCCUUUGAGAAACGUCUGUUUAAUCCAUUUACUGAUUGGGUACAUGGAUACCAAUGUUUACAGCACCACAAUCCACUAUAGCCAAGUUACGGAACCAGCCCAGGUGCCCAUCAACAGCUGAAUGGAUACAGAAAAUGUGGUGUAUACAACGACGGGGUCUUGCUCAGCCAUGAAGAAGGAAAUUCUGUCAUGUGCUGGUGAAUGGACGGAAGGGAGAACCUCACGCUAAGUGAAAUAAACCAGGCUCGGGAUGUGGAGGGCAGGAUUUUUUCCCUUACAUAUGCAGGAGCUAAAGAGAAAUAAGGAAUUAAAGAAAAAAGGUGAUUCCAUGAAAAUAGAGAGAAAACAGUGGAGCAGAGGAAAAAGGACGGAUGGGGAGGGAGAGGGAUGGGGAAAGGAGGAUCCUGUGGAAUAGAAUCGACCAGAUUAUGCUCUGCGCGUGUAUAAAGCAGUAGAGGGGCUGGGAGAGGGAACAUAGGGGAGGUGGGGGUACUGGGGAUUGACAUGGAGCAAAUUAUAUACAUGCAUGACUAGGCGAAAAUGAACCCCACUAUUAUGUAUUAACUGUAACAUGAAUAUUUUUAAACAAUUUAAAAGCUUGUAAGACAGAGACCAACCCAUUCUCCCUCUAAAGACUUUUUCUCCCUCAAAA